GGAGCUGUGGCUCAAGUGGUAGAGUGCUUGCCUAGCAUGCAUGAAAUCGUGGGUUCAAUUCCUCAGUACCA
rnacentral:tRNA from 1 species